rnacentral:rRNA from 1 species
AUUGAACGCUGGCGGCAUGCCUUACACAUGCAAGUCGAACGGCAGCAUGGGGCAACCUGGUGGCGAGUGCCGAACGGGUGAGUGAUGCAUCGGAACGUACCUUUGAGUGGGGGAUAACGUAGCGAAAGUUACGCUAAUACCGCAUAUUCUGUGAGCAGGAAAGCAGGGGGUCGCAAGACCUUGCGCUGAUUGAGCGGCCGAUGUCAGAUUAGCUAGUUGGUGGGGUAAAGGCUCACCAAGGCGACGAUCUGUAGCGGGUCUGAGAGGAUGAUCCGCCACACUGGAACUGAGACACGGUCCAGACUCCUACGGGAGGCAGCAGUGGGGAAUUUUGGACAAUGGGGGCAACCCUGAUCCAGCCAUGCCGCGUGAGUGAAGAAGGCCUUCGGGUUGUAAAGCUCUUUCGGCCGGGAAGAAAUCGCACGGGCUAAUACCCUGUGUGGAUGACGGUACCGGAAUAAGAAGCACCGGCUAACUACGUGCCAGCCGCCGCCGUAAGAC